CGAAAAAAUCUUAAUUUAAAUUUUAAACUGCAAAUUUAAAAAUGAAUGAAUUUUCUAGGAUUU
rnacentral:tRNA from 1 species